AUUGAACGCUGGCGGCAGGCCUAACACAUGCAAGUCGAGCGGAUGAAGGGAGCUUGCUCCUGGAUUCAGCGGCGGACGGGUGAGUAAUGCCUAGGAAUCUGCCUGGUAGUGGGGGAUAACGUCCGGAAACGGGCGCUAAUACCGCAUACGUCCUGAGGGAGAAAGUGGGGGAUCUUCGGACCUCACGCUAUCAGAUGAGCCUAGGUCGGAUUAGCUAGUUGGUGGGGUAAAGGCCUACCAAGGCGACGAUCCGUAACUGGUCUGAGAGGAUGAUCAGUCACACUGGAACUGAGACACGUUCCCGACUCCUACGGGAGGCAGCAGUGGGGAAUAUUGGACGAUGGGCGAGAGCCUGAUCCAGCCAUGCCGCGUGUGUGAAGAAGGUCUUCGGAUUGUAAAGCACUUUAAGUUGUGAGGAAGGGCAGUAAGUUAAUACCUUGCUGUUUUGACGUUACCAACAGAAUAAGCACCGGCUAACUUCGUG
rnacentral:rRNA from 1 species